CGAUGGUAAAUUUUCACGCUUGGCCAGAGGGGAAGUCACACAGACAGUCAUUUCUAUCUUGUCCAAUCCAUCGAGGAGAUUUGUUGUAACGCGCAGUAUUCGUGUUCCAAUGGCCUUUGACGGAUGAUGGUAGGCGGUGCUAUCGCUGCUUUGGAGAUAAGAACUGGUCAGUCAAUCGGCCGAGUCCGAACUGUAUCCAAACUCACAUAUGGGUAAGCCAGAUUAGUGUACAGAUAUUCUUAAACAGUUCAUCAGAUAUAAUUUCAUGCCUAGAGGUAGAAGGCUGGCUCACUAUUAUACAGGAUAACCAUGGAUGAAAGGGCGAUCCAUAUGGGAACUGCCUGCAUUAGCACCAUACCUCUGUCACUGCACGGAGAAAUUCGCUCACUGAUUACAGCAGCAUUUAGUUGAGCCUUUCUACUUUCGUCCUGAGGCAAGCUGGGAGUUAUUUCCACUUGACCCUUCAGGCUGUCCAGCUACUGGCAUAUUAGCAGGACGCCAAGUGUAAUAAUAGAGAGGCAGACUUGCCAGUUCCUCGUGUUUCAGAUCUGCUGACCACCCAGGGGGAUUGACAUAACCAACUCCCUCGCCAACUUCUCCUCUUGAAUUGGGAGCGGAACUGGGCCUGUG
rnacentral:sRNA from 1 species